rnacentral:rRNA from 1 species
UACGAAGGGGGCUAGCGUUGUUCGGAUUUACUGGGCGUAAAGCGCACGUAGGCGGAUUGUUAAGUCAGGGGUGAAAUCCCGGAGCUCAACUCCGGAACUGCCUUUGAAACUGCUAAGCUAGAAUCUUGGAGAGGCGAGUGGAAUUCCGAGUGUAGAGGUGAAAUUCGUAGAUAUUCGGAAGAACACCAGUGGCGAAGGCGACUCGCUGGACAAGUAUUGACGCUGAGGUGCGAAAGCGUGGGGAGCAAACAGG